AACGUAGGAGGCAAGCGUUAUCCGGAGUUACUGGGCGUAAAGCGCGUGUAGGUGGGUUGGUAAGUUACUUAUAAAAGCUCCUGGCUAAACUAGGAGAGGUUGAGUGAUACUGCCAGUCUUGAAUAGAGGAGAGGUUGACGGAAUUCCGCGUGUAGUGGUGAAAUGCGUAGAGAUGCGGAAGAACACCAGUGGCGAAGGCGGUCAACUGGCCUCAUAUUGACACUCAGACGCGAAAGCAUGGGUAGCGAACGGG
rnacentral:rRNA from 1 species